rnacentral:pre_miRNA from 1 species
UCUUCAUUUCCCAAACUCUCUCACCGGUCAGAAAGGCGAAAAAGUUUGUAAAAUGACGAGA